rnacentral:rRNA from 1 species
GCUCAGGAUGAACGCUGGCGGCGUGCCUAAUACAUGCAAGUCGAACGCACAGCGAAAGGUGCUUGCACCUUUCAAGUGAGUGGCGAACGGGUGAGUAACACGUGGACAACCUGCCUCAAGGCUGGGGAUAACAUUUGGAAACAGAUGCUAAUACCGAAUAAAACUUAAUGUUGCAUGACAUAAAGUUAAAAGGCGCUUCGGCGUCACCUAGAGAUGGGUCCGCGGUGCAUUAGUUAGUUGGUGGGGUAAAGGCUCACCAAGACGAUGAUGCAUAGCCGAGUUGAGAGACUGAUCGGCCACAUUGGGACUGAGACACGGCCCAAACUCCUACGGGAGGCUGCAGUAGGGAAUCUUCCACAAUGGGCGAAAGCCUGAUGGAGCAACGCCGCGUGUGUGAUGAAGGCUUUCGGGUCGUAAAGCACUGUUGUAUGGGAAGAACAGCUAGAAUAGGAAAUGAUUUUAGUUUGACGGUACCAUACCAGAAAGGGACGGCUAAAUACGUGCCAGCAGCCGCGGUAAUACGUAUGUCCCGAGCGUUAUCCGGAUUUAUUGGGCGUAAAGCGAGCGCAGACGGUUUAUUAAGUCUGAUGUGAAAGCCCGGGGCUCAACUCCGGAAUGGCAUUGGAAACUGGUUAACUUGAGUGCAGUAGAGGUAAGUGGAACUCCAUGUGUAGCGGUGGAAUGCGUAGAUAUAUGGAAGAACACCAGUGGCGAAGGCGGCUUACUGGACUGCAACUGACGUUGAGGCUCGAAAGUGUGGGUAGCAAACAGGAUUAGAUACCCUGGUAGUCCACACCGUAAACGAUGAACACUAGGUGUUAGGAGGUUUCCGCCUCUUAGUGCCGAAGCUAACGCAUUAA